rnacentral:rRNA from 1 species
AUACGUAGGUGGCAAGCGUUGUCCGGAUUUAUUGGGCGUAAAAGGCGAGCGCUAGGCGGUUUUUUAAGUCUGAUGUGAAAGCCUUCGGCUCAACCGAAGAAGUGCAUCGGAAACUGGGAAACUUGAGUGCAGAAGAGGACAGUGGAACUCCAUGUGUAGCGGUGAAAUGCGUAGAUAUAUGGAAGAACACCAGUGGCGAAGGCGGCUGUCUGGUCUGUAACUGACGCUGAGGCUCGAAAGUAUGGGUAGC